rnacentral:rRNA from 1 species
UCCAGACUCCUACGGGAGGCAGCAGUGGGGGAUAUUGCACAAUGGGGGGAACCCUGAUGCAGCGACGCCGCGUGAGGGAAGACGGUUUUCGGAUUGUAAACCUCUUUCUUUAGGGACGAAACAAAUGACGGUACCUAAAGAGGAAGCCAUGGCUAACUACGUGCCAGCAGCCGCGGUAAUACGUAGGUGGCAAGCGUUGUCCGGAAUUACUGGGUGUAAAGGGAGCGUAGGCGGGAAUGCAAGUUGAAUGUUUAAACUAGGGGCUCAACCCAUAGUCGCGUUCAAAACUGCAUUUCUUGAGUGGAGUAGAGGCUGGCGGAAUUCCUAGUGUAGCGGUGAAAUGCGUAGAUAUUAGGAGGAACACCAGUGGCGAAGGCGGCCUGCUGGGCUUUAACUGACGCUGAGGCUCGAAAGUGUGGGGAGCAAACAGGAUUAGAUACCCGCGUA